rnacentral:rRNA from 1 species
UGUAAGCGUAUACCAAAGUUGUUGCAGUUAAAGCGCUCGUAGUCGGACUUUGGCAGUUCCGGAUGUGUGCACGUCGUGUGCGCACUUCGCGGGGAUUGCUUUUGUGGUCUUGCGUAGGAUGAGGCACUUUUAUUAGUGAACGUCCUCACGCAACCACUUUUUACUGUGAGAAAAUCAGAGUGCUCAAAGCAGGCAUUUGCCGUGAAUGUAUUAGCAUGGAAUAAUAGAAUAGGACUUGGUUCUAUUUUGUUGGUUUGUUGGGACUGAGUAAUGAUUAAGAGGGACAGUUGGGGGCAUUUGUAUUUCGGUGCUAGAGGUGAAAUUCUUAGAUUACCGAAAGACAAACUGCUGCGAAAGCGUCUGCCAAGGAUGUUUUCAUUGA